rnacentral:tRNA from 1 species
GCUUUCCUGUGGCUCAGUUGGUAGAGCAUUGCACUUACAAUGCAAAGGUUGUGGGUUACAUCCCAGGGAAAGCA